AGCGAACGCUGGCGGCAGGCUUAACACAUGCAAGUCGAGCGGGCAUCCUUGUGGUGUCAGCGGCAGACGGGUGAGUAACGCGUGGGAACGUGCCCUACGGUUCGGAAUAACUCAGGGAAACUUGAGAUAAUACCGGAUACGCGCGAGAGCAGAAAGGUUUAUCUGCCGAAGGAUCGGCCCGCGUCUGAUUAGCUAGUUGGUGAGGUUACGGCUCCCCAAGGCGACGAUCAGUAGCUGGUCUGAGAGGAAGAUCAGCCACACUGGGACUGAGACACGGCCCAGACUCCUACGGGAGGCAGCCGUGGGGAAUAUUGGACUAUGGGGUCAACCCUGAUCCAGCCAUGCCGCGUGAGUGAUUACGGCCUUAGGGUUGUAAAGCUCUUUUCUCCGGGACGAUAAUGACGGUACCGGAGGAAUAAGCCCCGGCUAACUUCGUG
rnacentral:rRNA from 1 species